rnacentral:sRNA from 1 species
GCUGGGCACAGUGAUGCAUGCCUGUAAUCCCAGCGACUUGGGAGGCUGAGGCAGGAGGAUUGUGAAUUCAAACCUAGCCUCAGCAACUCAGGGAGGCCCUAAGCAACUCAGGGAGACCCUGCCUCUA